ACUGCACUCCAGAGCAAGACUCUGUCUCAAAAAGAAAAAAAAAAAGAAAAAGAAAAUUCAAAAACUAUAGCAGGGUUUUUACUCAAACUUUUCCCAAACAGCAAUUUCUACACUAAUGCUGGUCAGUGACAUCAUUGUCACUAGUCCAUAGAUAAAAUGAAGACCAUGUUUAGAGUUUUCCAACACAUUUAAGUUUCUUCUAUAGAAAAGCUGCCCUUAGUUUUGAAUUUGAUUCUUCUGACUUUUUAACAUUUUAAUACUAAACUAAUAACAUUAUUUAUUGUAUGAAAAGAGGAUGAUAAAAGCUCUUUUAUCAUGUUACAUUGUUGAAGUUCCUGACCUGGCAAAAUAAAAUGUUGAUAAAACAAUGCCAGUUCUUCAAGUUCUGUUUAGUUGUUUAUUUUAUGCGUUUUGUCAUAUGUAUACUUGGUCACAGGGGAAACCCCUGCUUUAAAAUAAAGACUGGCUCCCUGUGAGCCCAUCAAUCAGGCCCUGCACCUGUUUAGCAAAGUGUAGGGAGCGGUGCACGUGGAGAUCUGCGCCUGCCUGCGCCUCCUCGCCCGCCUCCACUACAUCAUGGGUACGCAUGAGGUACUACAUCAUGAGUACGCAGAGGCCCUGAGAAGCCAGCAGGAGGCAGUGCUGAUGAGCGUUCGGGUGACGGGCAUCGAGCACCCCAACACCAUCCAGGAAAACACGCAUCUGGCCCUGCACUGCUUCACCAGCAGGCAGCUGUCUCCGGCCCUGAGCCUGCUGUGGGGCGCCGGCUACCUCACGCUGCUGGUGCUUGGGGAAGACACCCCGAGGUGGCGUGCUGGACAGCAUCGGGCGGGUGCUGCACAGGGUGAUGGAGUACGACCUGUCGCCACGCUUCCUGGACAACGCGCUGGCCGUCAGCACCAAGUACCACGGGCCCAAGGCCCUCAAGGUGGCCUUGGCCACCAUCUCAUCGCCUGGGUCUAUGAGAGCAAGGCUGAGUUCCGGUGGGCCCUGCAGCACCAGAAGGAAGGACUGCACACCCUCCGUAAUACCCAGCUGGGCGAGGACCAGGAGAAGAUCAAGGAGAGCUCCGAGUACCUCAAAUGCCUGACCCAGCCAGCCGUGGUCCUGCGGAGCGCCAUGAAUGAGAUCUACCGCAAUGGCUCCAGCAACAACAUCCCGCCCCUCAACUUCACAGCCCCCGGCAUGGCCAGCAUCUUGGAGCAGUUCAGAGGCAUCAGUGGCAUCCUCUUCAUUCCUCUCAGUCAAAAAGACUUGGAGAAUCUGAACGCCGAGGUGACGCAGUGACACCAGCUCCAGGAGGCCAGUAGAAACAGGGAUAAGGCCGAGGAGCCCAAGGCCACGAAGCCCGAGUCAGUGGAGGCACCAGAGGACCUGGGCUCCCAGCCCCGGGCUGCCAAGGACUCUUCUUCCCCAAAUUUGCAGGGAUAGAGAGGGACAGGCAGACGGACAGUUAGUCAGUGGCCCCAUUCACCAGGGAUCCAGACUCCAGGAGAAGGAGGCAUACCUGCCAUGGGAAGAGGAAGCAAGGCCCUCUUCUUCCAUGUUUCACCCCCACCGCACCCCCAGUAUCCUCCCGGGACCCUGGCCUGGCCUGCCUGCUCCCCAAAAGAUGUUUUUGCACUGGUUCAAUGAAUAUAUGAUGCAGAGGCCCUCCCCCACAAAAAAAAGACUGGCUCCCUAAUCGUUAUGUCCCUAGCAUAACACAGUAGGCUC